UACGGGGGGGGCAAGCGUUGUUCGGAAUUACUGGGCGUAAAGGGCUCGUAGGUGGCCAACUAAGUCAGACGUGAAAUCCCUCAGCUUAACUGGGGAACUGCGUCUGAUACUGGAUGGCUUGAGAUUGGGAGAGGGACGCGGAAUUCCAGGUGUAGCGGUGAAAUGCGUAGAUAUCGUAAGGAAGACCAGUGGCGAAGGCGGGUCUCUGGACAGUUCCUGACGCUGAGGCACGAAGGUCAGGGGAGCAAACGGG
rnacentral:rRNA from 1 species